rnacentral:lncRNA from 12 species
ACGGGAUGGGAUAACGGGAUGGGAUAACGGGAUGGGAUAACGGGAUGGGAUAACGGGAUGGGAUAACGGGAUGGGAUAACGGGAUGGGAUAACGGGAUGGGAUAACGGGAUGGGAUAACGGGAUGGGAUAACGGGAUGGGAUAACGGGAUGGGAUAACGGGAUGGGAUAACGGGAUGGGAAAGGGGUAAAUGGGAUGGGAUAAAGGGGUAAAUGGGGUGGGAUAGUGGAGUAGUGGUGAGGGGAUAGUGGGGGGGGAUAGUGGGAUGGGAUGAGGUGGGAUUCAAUAGGAUUCAACGGGAUUCAAUGGGAUGGGAUCACUGGGAUGGGUUCGAUGGGAAAAAUGGGAUGGGAUCACUGGGAUCGAUGGCAUGGCAUGGCAUGUGGACAUUGCACAGGGAGAUGGGGUGCAGGGCAGUGAUGGGGGACAUUGCACAGGGGGUGGGAUGGGGGACAGUGAUGGGGCAUUGGUGGGGUGGGACGGGGGCUGAUGUGGGGGCACAGCAAGGGGGGCCCGUUCACCUCACGGGAGUUGGUUUGGGCAGCACUGCUGAGGGGAACCCCCGGUCUGGCAUGGGGGGCACGGAGAGGGGACAGGCUGGGUCACACACGGGGCGACACCGGGCACUGCGUGUGGGGCACUGCAGGGACAAGGGGACACCAAGCACGUGUCCCCUGUGCGGGCAGGGGAACAGGGAUCCCUCCCCACAGCAGAACUGGGGGUCGGAGCCGUGCUGGCCCCCCGUCCCUGCACGGUGGCCCCGGGGGCUCAGCAGCCUGCCGGGUGUCGCCCUCGGGGGACCCCGGGGGGGGGGGGGGGGGGGGGGGGGGGGGGGGGUGCUGGCCCCCCGUCCCUGCACGGUGGCCCCGGGGGCUCAGCAGCCUGCCGGGUGUCGCCCUCGGGUGACCCCGCACGCAGGAUUUUGGCACCGGCCCUUCCCUUUCAGAGAUUUAAUCUUCCCCUCCGGGCUAUGCUCUGCCAAGUGGAAAAAUCCCAAAUCAAGGCAGCUCGGAGCACAAAAACGCCUCCGCCCCGCGGGGGAGAACAGAUGGGGCUGGGGGACAAGGAGUGACACGCACGCCUCGAGGCACCGCUGGGGAAUUCGGGCACCCAUCAGCCCCACGCGGCCACAGCUCUCUGUCCCCCCUGGACAAAGUGUCCCGAGGGACAGGACACGGCGACAGGGACAGGACACGGCGACAAGGACAGGACACGGCGACAGGGACAGGACACGGCGACAGGGACAGGGCUGCCCCAGGAGGAAGGAGCUGUGCAGAGCCGGGGUUUGGGAGCAGCAGAGGGACCGGGGCGGGGGGAGAGCGCUGGAGCAUCCCCGGAUCCUUCCCAGCGCUGGGAAUUCUCUGCCAUCCUUCCCAGUGCUGGGAAUUCUCUGCCCGGAGCAUCCUGGGAUGAGCUGGGGACCAGCAGGAGCGCAGAGAGGGACCGGUGGAAACAACCCCGUUCCUUCGGGAUUUGCAUUCCACGCCUCUGGGACCGGCAGGGGAAGGUUGAUCCCCUGA